rnacentral:lncRNA from 1 species
CAGCAGUGCCAGCUCCUGUGACAGCGGUCUGCCAGGAGUACACAGCCUUCCCUUCAGGGCAGCCCCACCUGCUGCAGCCCACACAGGACGCCGGGCCGGGACUACGUGCUGAGCAACUUCACUUCCAGAGGGACAAAGAGGAAAUAAAAUGAUCCGGUUGCCCUAGGUUGUCAGGGCGUCCACCAAGAAGUAACUGAUAUCUUCAUGAUGAAAGGGAGUGCUCAGGCUGUAACACCAGCAACCAGCGCAGGAGCAGGAACCUUCCCCGGCCAGCCCGCAUGUUCCACACCGCAUUCGGCUGUUUCCAAGGCGAGGUUGGCUGAAAUGCUAGCUUCUCGGAGAGGAAAAUCAGCCUCUUUCUACACGCAGCCCAAGAAGACACCAUCCCUGGACCCUGAAAUUUAGAGCGACGCCGUGGCUGGUUUCUGUGUGAAAAGGAAAUAUGAGUCUUUGUUGCUGCCUUUAUUUAUUGCACACCUUGUCUGGAAUCUGGUAUUGAAGCCUCACGCGUGAUGAGUGGCCGCCUUGAACUUUCCCGCUGAUCAAUGCUGGCACUGGCGCUGCAUGAAAGAGCAGCUUCCCUGGGCGAACCAGGAGCCCCUGUCACACGGGAAGCCGCUGCCUGUAAAAAAUGGCCCAGGGCCUUGCAGGCUUAAGCUUCGGGACACGUUCUACCUCCAACCCCAAAACAGCAAGCAGGGACUGACCGCGUGAAAACCGGGAUGCUCCGCGCUAAGAGGGCUGGCCAUACAGAUACCCUCCUCUCUGCGAAACGACCGGAGGACACCACGGCUGAAACCGCACGGGGGACGAGCGGGCAACGUGAAGGGGGAGCACAGGGGCCAUAUUUCUUCCCAG